AAAGUCCCUUGGCGAACCAGUGUCUUUCCUUCUGCUCCUUCAGGUACCUGCCGUGGACUUUUCCUGGCUUGACCUCCUCCUCGGGGUGACUGGAGGGCCCCUCCACCGUUGCCCUGAAGAGUGAAUGAAGCAGUGGUGCACUGGUCAGCAGGUGAUUCACUUCCUGCUGCCUACUGAGGUGGCCUGACAGCAGUGAGCGCAACACAUCCAGGGUCUCGGCGAUCUGCGAGGCAAGGACCAGUCAGGCAUCUCCCACACAGCAAAGAACCACACACUUCAGAAAAAGAACCUCAACACAACACUCCAGGAAAAAAAAAAACACAUCCCUAACUCCACCAAGCUUGCCCCUUCCCUGGGAGGUACCGAGGUUGUGGGGCUGUCCUGCCACAUAGCCAAGUGGAGGCACCGGCGAGUGUGUGCGCUGAGGAGCCCUGCCAGCUGCUCCCGAGGACUGCUGAGGGACGGCUGC